GCUAAUUACACCUGGUUCAAGGAGGAUGAAGACUCACCAACAGCUUCAGGACAGAUCUUUAACAUAAACAACACAAGUCCUGAACACAGUGGGCAUUAUAUUUGUAUCGCCCAAAAUACCAGAGGACGUCACAUCUGACUGUUUUGGAAGCAGGAGGAUGGAAACUGACGACUGCUGUGACAGUUCCUGCUAUUUUCCUCAUUAUCAUACUCAUCUUUGUCGUCAUAUGGAUCAUAAAGAAGAGGGCCUGCAAGCAACCGUCUGAGCCCGGAGACAGACCAGAGAACAGUGAACAGAUACAACCAGCAGAGGAGCAGGAUGAGCUUCAAUAUGCCACUGUCGACUUUUCCAGGAACCAGGCUGAUCCUCUCUACUCCAACA